UCUCCGGAUUGGCUUUGGGGAGCCGGCAACGGUACCCUAUCGCUGAGAAGCUGAUCAAACUUGGUCAUUUAGAGGAAGUAAAAGUCGUAACAAGGUUUCCGUAGGUGAACCUGCGGAAGGAUCAUUAUUGAAUAAACCUGAUGGGUUGUUGCUGGCUUCUAGGAGCAUGUGCACGCCUGUCAUCUUUAUCCAUCCACCUGUGCACCCUAUGUAGUCUUUGGAGGUAAUGAGCGUGAAAUUGUCGAGGACUUCCCCUCGGAAUGAGGCCUGCCGCGCGUGUGUGUGGCUGACCUUGGUGCUUCGCGCGAGUUUCUCCCAAGUCUAUGUCUUUCAUAUACCACGCAGAAUGUCUUAGAAUGUAUUCCAUUGGGCCUCAGUGCCUAUAUAACACAAUACAACUUUCAGCAACGGAUCUCUUGGCUCUCGCAUCGAUGAAGAACGCAGCGAAAUGCGAUAAGUAAUGUGAAUUGCAGAAUUCAGUGAAUCACCGAAUCUUUGAACGCACCUUGCGCUCCUUGGUAUUCCGAGGAGCAUGCCUGUUUGAGUGUCAUUUAAUUCUCAACCCCUUCAGCUUUCUUGGCUGGCUUGGUGGCUUGGAUGUGGGGGGAUUCAUUUGCGGGCCUCUACAAAGGUCGGCUCCCCUGAAAUGCAUUAGCGGAACCGUUUGCGGAAACUGUCACUGGUGUGAUAAUUAUCUACGCCAAAGACAACUGCUCUCUGGUACUUCUGCUUCGAAUCGUCCAAUCUUGGACAACGUUAUUCGAAUCCUUGACCUCAAAUCAGGUAGGACUACCCGCUGAACUUAAGCAUAUCAAUAAGCGGAGGAAAAGAAACUAACAAGGAUUCCCCUAGUAACUGCGAGUGAAGCGGGAAGAGCUCAAAUUUAAAAUCUGGCGGUCUUUGGCCGUCCGAGUUGUAAUCUAGAGAAGCGUCACCCGCGCUGGACCGUGUACAAG
rnacentral:rRNA from 1 species